AUUGAACGCUGGCGGCAUGCUUUACACAUGCAAGUCGAACGGUAACAGGCCGCAAGGUGCUGACGAGUGGCGAACGGGUGAGUAAUGCAUCGGAACGUGCCCAGUCGUGGGGGAUAACUACUCGAAAGAGUAGCUAAUACCGCAUACGAUCUAUGGAUGAAAGCGGGGGACCGUAAGGCCUCGCGCGAUUGGAGCGGCCGAUGUCAGAUUAGGUAGUUGGUGGGGUAAAGGCUCACCAAGCCAACGAUCUGUAGCUGGUCUGAGAGGACAACCCGCCACACUGGAACUGAGACACGGCCCAGACUCCUACGGGAGGCAGCAGUGGGGAAUUUUGGACAAUGGGCGCAAGCCUGAUCCAGCAAUGCCGCGUGCAGGAAGAAGGCCUUCGGGUUGUAAACUGCUUUUGUACGGAACGAAACGGCUCUGGUUAAUACCCGGGGCUAAUGACGGUACCGUAAGAAUAAGCACCGGCUAACUACGUG
rnacentral:rRNA from 1 species